CACGUAGGGUGCGAGCGUUGUCCGGAAUUAUUGGGCGUAAAGAGCUCGUAGGCGGUUCGAUAAGUCGGACGUGAAAUCUCCACGCUCAACGUGGAGGGGCCGUUCGAUACUGUCGUGACUCGAGUCCGGUAGGGGAGUGUGGAAUUCCCGGUGUAGCGGUGAAAUGCGCAGAGAUCGGGAGGAACACCCGUAGCGAAGGCGGCACUCUGGGCCGGUACUGACGCUGAGGAGCGAAAGCGUGGGGAGCAAACAGG
rnacentral:rRNA from 1 species